CGGGGGGAGCAAGCGUUGUUCGGAUUUACUGGGCGUAAAGGGCGGGUAGGCGGCCACCGCAAGUCGACUGUGAAAUCCCCGGGCUUAACCCGGAAAGGUCAGCCGAUACUGCGGGGCUAGAGUGCAGAAGGGGCAACUGGAAUUCUCGGUGUAGCGGUGAAAUGCGUAGAUAUCGAGAGGAACACCUGCGGCGAAGGCGGGUUGCUGGGCUGACACUGACGCUGAACUGCGAAAGCUAGGGGAGCGAACGGGAUUAGAUACCCCGGUAGUCCUAGCCUUAAACGAUGAAUGCUUGGUGUCUGGGGUUUUAUAGUCCCCGGGUGCCGUCGCUAACGCUUUAAGCAUUCCGCCUGGGGAGUACGGUCGCAAGACUG
rnacentral:rRNA from 1 species